rnacentral:rRNA from 1 species
CAGCAGCCGCGGUAAUACAGAGGGUGCAAGCGUUAAUCGGAUUUACUGGGCGUAAAGCGUGCGUAGGUGGCUGUUUAAGUCGGAUGUGAAAGCCCUGGGCUUAACCUGGGAACUGCAUUCGAUACUGGAUAGCUAGAGAUCGGUAGAGGGCAGCGGAAUUCCGGGUGUAGCGGUGAAAUGCAUAGAUAUCCGGAGGAACACCGAUGGCGAAGGCAACUGCCUGGGCCUGAUCUGACACUGAGGCACGAAAGCGUGGGUAGCAAACAGGAUUAGAUACCCGCGUAGUCCCUGUCUCUUAUAC